rnacentral:SRP_RNA from 1 species
CUGUGCUAUGCGGGGAGCUAGUGGUGCCCUGUUGCCUACAAUCCACUACAGUAGGGCAGAAUGCCGUUAAAGGUUUAUCGCGUGUCGCGCAGUCGUGCGUAAGCGGUGUUGACGGUAAGGUCUUGUGCAAUACUGCGCCGUGAACCGUGUCAGGGCCUGACGGCAGCAGCACUAAGCGGAUUGCCGUAUGUGCCACAAGGUGGCUUUGCAAGAGCCGGCUGCGCAAAGGACGGCGGGGCGCGGUCUAUCGAUAACGGAUGCACAG